CAGAGACCCUCCUUUUUGAGGGAACUCUGCUCCCUUAGAAGACCCUUUUCCCUGAGGAGACCCUUCUCCCUGAGCUGCCCUGGCCCUAAAACAUUUUUCAAAAAUAAAAGUAAAAAUUCAGAGCUGUAGCCGGGGCAGAGUGACCACCUCCAGCAGCCCCUGUCAGAGCUGAGGUGCCAGAGUGGCCUGUGCUGAAGCGUUUUAAAAACCAUCCCAAAAAUUAUGCCCGGAAAAUUUGUGGCAGAAGGUGCUGCCGGCCCUGAUCUGUGCUGGAAACAGCUCUUGGCUUUUGGGAAGGAAAAGGCUGUGUGUAAUGUACACAUACACACACACACAAACAUACACACACACUUUCAGUUUCAGGGUAAACAGUCAGAGUCUGGUGAAUUUCAAUGGCAAUGGGGAGUGGAGGAAAAACACAACAAUUUCUCAAUGAAUGGGUUAAACUUCUAACUCCUGACUGGCAAAAUCAGCCCGGUCUGAGGCUGAGGGGUAAAAAGGCUGUACAAGGGCCAAGGGACUAAUGCAAGGUCACAGGUACUGUGCUUAGAGAUGAGCCCUGCACUUCAAUCAGACAUGCGAAUACCUGUGAGAAAAAUUAAAACUUCAGUGGUCGCAAAACUGGUCCCAGAAUUCACUUUUUUUUCAGGUUAACAAUUUUCUAUCUCACUUACAUUUCUCAGCAGCAUUCUCCUUGUACUUUCAGCCACAGGGUUUGGCUCCUGUAACAUACCAAGGCCUUUGCCUUCAUAGCAGUGACACCUCAAUCAACUGUGCUUUGUCUGACUCCAGUUGGUUUCCUUGCAGCCCAAGCUCAGUGUGAAGACUUCUCCUCCUUCCAGCCAGGGGGAAGAUGUGCAGAUUCCCACGAAGCUGAUGCUGUGUGAGUUUCUGCAACCAAAUGGAACAGAUGAGAGUUAGAAACACAUUGACCAGAAUUCCAAGGUGACCACGUUUGCACGAGUGAAUACAGACUUCGAUUUGUUACAGUCACCACUAGAGGCACAGGAGUUACCCGGCUUGUAUCAGCAGGCUCUGUCUGGAGGAUCUCUUUCAGUCUGGAAAUACAAUAUUAGAGAUUCUGGUCUAACCUACCUUGCCCUAAGACUGACUGACCAGUACCACCUUCACAAACAUAUGAUGAUUCAUGACCUUUUUCUCCGACUACUGAGCACAGAACCAGCCAAAGGGUACCUGGCCUGCCUUAGCUCCAAGCAGCCAGUUUUGCAAAGAUAGGUUCUGCUUUAGCCCCUGUAAACUGUGGGUUUAUUUGCCUUGUCUGUCAAUCUAAACCGAGUUUCCUGCUGCUACUGGAUGGUGUUUUGUCACUGCCCGUAACAGUAGGCUGUAAACUGCAGGGUAACUAAAUCUUAAAGCCACAAGGUACUCACACUAAAUCAGUCAGAUUAUGCUCCUGCUGCAGGGGCAUUUCCAGGUCACAAAUUGACACCCUCUCAUCGCCUUUUUGCACCAAGAGUGUAUAAAGUCAAGUUAAAACUUGAUGCAUAAGGGCAACAGUUCACAGCACUCCUGAAAUGAGUAGUCACUUCCUCAUGUAUAUUCUCAGAUACCCAGCAGAGCGAGUCAAGUGUCUCCAGUCACUUUGUUUCUACCAGUAAGAAAGAGAGAAUACACUAAGAUGCCUUUUAAGGACAUUCAGGAAUAUACUGGUGUAUAAAAAAGAGGAAGAAAACACAAGAGGGUUCUAAAAACAAUUGUGGCUGAUUUUGUGAAUUGCUGAUAGACUUGUGUUUGUUUGCAGAGAGAAAAAAACCAAACCCACAAAACCCCAAACUAUUUUAUUUAAAAGACUGUAUACCUUUGACUUGCAUAAAAGGAAGAAGUUUGGUUUUGUUGGUUUAAUUGCCAAGACUAAAGAAAAUCUAAAUGAGCUUAGUUCCAAAUAAUUCUCAUAUCAGUAAAGUCUCUCAUUUCAAGUAAGUCUCCUUCAGUUAAAAGAAAUUAUUGCAAGGUAACAAUGGAAUGUAAAUGAUGAGCUGAGCAGCUGUGUCUUUAUAUCAAGCACUUCUGUUUUAUUCAGAUUAUCUUUUAUUUCCUUUAAAAUUAUUUUUUUCCUAUCUUGAGUUAAAAGAGAGAAAUUUUGCUGCUCCUCAGUUUUGCAAAUGUAUGUUAAGGUUAUUACCCUCUCUGUCAGUGAUGCAGAGAAUCAUUCUGAUUCACCUUUGCACUGUGUUCUUAUUGAAGGCCUGCUGAGAAAGGGACCCUGCUGUGCCAAAGACUGUGCAGACAGAGAGACAGAGGAUUUCUGUUCCCAAGAGCUUAUAAUUAGCUACAUUCACACAUACAUUGAGCAGAACACCAGUCCUCUCAGCCACAGACAUCAGAGAACUCCAAAAAAUGGUGUGGAGUGUGUCUAUCAGAGUCCAAAUUCUUUGGCUUACCUGGAGUAAACAAGUGCCCACAACAGGGUGGUUAUUGCCCAAAGCAAUACUUCCCAAACCAGUGCAGAUUGUGGGAGCAUCCAGUUGUUGCUGCCUGCUCAGUGCUGGGAUCUCUGCUCCAGAAGUAUCUGGGAAAAGGUUGUACUUUAUCUCAUAAGAGUGAAAACAUUAUUAAGAACAAAUAGUCUUAAACUGCAAAUCCAACUAUUCUCCACAGCACAAUGAGCUGUUAAAGGUCAGACUGACUCUUUACAGCUUGGGCCCAAUUAUGCAUUACAAACAAGCAAGAGGAGAACAUGCUUUUAUCCUGAGUAAGGUACCAGUUAGAUCAAGAUCAUAGCAGAGAGCUGUGACAGCUUUGAAGGGCUGCCUGUAAGUCAUCUGCUGCUGGAGGUGACUCAGAGAGUGUGUCCCCAGAGAAGGCUCAAGUUGCAGUUUAAAGCAGUGAUUUCCAACACUAAACAGGAGAUACGUGACAGAUCAGAGUCCAAACCAAGCUCUGCCUUUAUACUGGGCUCUGCUGGCUGCUGAUGUGGGGAAGGGGAAAUUUAGGGUGGUGGGGAGAAGAAGGUGAAGUGAUGAAAUGCUCUGUGUGAUUGGUUGG